ensembl:lncRNA
CCCCAUCCUGCCCAUGUGUCACCAUUUCUGAACACCUCCACCCUUCCAUGUGCCACCAUCCCAUGGCAUCCCCAUCCUCCCCAUGUGCCACCACCCCAUCUGUAGUGGCAGUGCUGAGUCCCGGCCUGAAGCAGUGACGGAGCACGUGGCGGAAGGCCGGGCCAGCCCGGGGAGCUCAGGUGCGUGCAAUGCAAUACAGCUGAGUGAGUGGGAGGGCUGGAGCCAGGACCCACCCCUUCCCAGCCCUCAUUGAAGGCCUGGCAGUGGAGGUGAGGGGCACUCCCUGGAGCUCUCUGUGUACCUGCGGCCUUCAGGAGUAUGAUACCAUCCCAUGGCACCUCCAUCUCCCGGUGCGCCACCAUCACUGGGCAUCUCAUCCUGUCCGUGUGUCACCACCCCGUGGCAUUUCCAUCCUCCCAUCUGCCUCCAACCCCAUGGACCCCCCCCUCUGAGCCAGCCUGGAGUCCUGCAGCCCCUUCCUUUGCCAGACUGUCCCCGUGGGGCGGCUGUGUGUCCCCGUGGGGCAGUGGAAGGCCUGGGAGCGCAGGGAUGGAGAUGCAGCUGUGCAGGGUUGGAGCUGCAUCCAUGGAUGGAGCCGUUCCUAUUGAUGGAGCUGCACCCGUGGAUGAGAUGACAGCAGGGAUGGAGCCGUACCCACGGAUGGAGCCAUAUGGAGAUGGAGCUGCGCCCGUACCCACGGAUGGGAUGGAGUGACCCCACGGAUGAGGGCCGUACCCCACAGAUGGGGCCAUGUGGGGACGCAGCCGCACCAACACGAGAUGGUUUCACCUCUCCAAAUCAACACACGCUGCUGCAGCCUCCGCCGUCCUCUCCCUCCACCCCUCCCCGCUCUGCCCCACACGCAGCACCCCGCGGCCAUCCCUGCCCUCCUCACCCCCGGGACCCCCAGCAACGCCACCGCAGCGUUUGCUCGGUGCCGGCCGUUCCUGGAGCUCUCACACCGUGGCCAACUGCACGCUGUGCGCCCGGGGACGUCACGGCCGAUCCCUCGCUCCGCUUCCUCGAAGGCCGUCUGCUGCGUGCCAGGGUGACGCUGGCGGCUCGGGGCUGACCUGCUUUUUCUCCUCCAGCCCUCGCUUUGAAUCCCUCCGGCCGGCCCGGCCCUCUGCACGGCUCCGAGAGCGCCGACGGCUUCCUGUGUGGGCGGUGGAAUUUGGCACCCGGCUGUGGGGAUGGAGCGGCCGAUGUACAACGCCCGGCACCGUGCGCCCAGCAACGCCGUGCAACGAGCAACACCGUGCAUGCAUCCUGCACUGUGCACCCAGCAACACUGCACCCAGCAAUGCUGUGCACCCAGCAAUGCCGUGCAUGCAUCCUGCACUGUGCACCCAGCAAGGCUGUGCAUGCAUCCUGCACUGUGCACCCAGCAACACUGCACCCAGCAACGCCGUGCACCCACCAAGGCUGUGCAUGCAUCCUGCACUGUGCACCCAGCAACGCUGUGCACCCACCAAGGCUGUGCAUGCAUCCUGCACUGUGCACCCAGCAACACUGCAGCCAGCAAUGCCGUGCGCCCAUCCUGCACCGCGCAUCCAGCAAUGCCGUGCAUGCAUCAUGCACUGUGCCCCCAGCAACACUGUGCACCCAGCAACACUGCACCCAGCAAUGCUGUGCACCCACCAACGCUGUGAACGCAUCCUGCACCAUGCACACAUCAGUGCUCUGCACCCAGCAAUGCUGUGCACGCAUUCUGCACCGUGCACCCAGCAACACUGUGCACCCACCAAUGCUGUGCAUGCAUCCUGCACUGUGCACACAUCAACGCUGUGCACCCAGCAACAUGACACCCAGCAAUGCUGUGCAUGCAUCCUGCACCACGCACCCAGCAACACUGAGCACCCAGCAGCACGGUGCACACAUCCUGCACCAUGCACACAUCAGUGCUCUGCACCCAGCAAUGCUGUGCACGCAUUCUGCACCGUGCACCCAGCAACACUGUGCACCCACCAAUGCUGUGCAUGCAUCCUGCACUGUGCACACAUCAACGCUGUGCACCCAGCAACAUGACACCCAGCAAUGCUGUGCAUGCAUCCUGCACCACGCACCCAGCAACACUGAGCACCCAGCAGCACGGUGCACACAUCCAGCACCAAUGCACCCACCAACACUGCACCCAGCAAUGCUGUGCAUGCAUCCUGCACCGUGCACCUACCAACGCUGUGCACCCAACCAGCACCGUGCAACCAUCCAGGGCUGUGCGCCCACCCAACACCAUGCACACAUGUGGCACUGUGCACCCAUCCAGCACCCAAAAUCAUGCACCCACCAACUCUGUGCACCACCACCAACGUGCACACAUCACCCACGCAGCACCAUGCACCCACUGUGCACCGUGCUGCACACGGAGGGCACACAUUGCACUUGCUUGCAUGUUGCACACCUGGCAGGCACAUAACAUGUUGCACGCCUAGAGCACGUUGCAUGCUUUGUAUGCAUGUUGCACGUUGAGAACACGCGCUGCAUGCUUUAUAUGCACGUUGCAUGCUGACAACACAUGUUGCAUACUAUAUGCACAUUGCAUGUUGCAUGCUGAGCAUGCGUGUUGCACACCGGUCGUGCAUGCUGCACUGUGCACCCUGCUGACCCCAUGCACCCACCAGCACCGUGCAGGAGCUGCAUGCACCGGGGCUGCCCACACACCCUAAUAGCAACGUGUGGCCUCUCCAGGAAGACCCUUUGUUCCCCCUCCACCCCAUAAGUGCGGUCCCCUCCUCCUUCUGUGCUUAUGGGGGGGGUCCCGGUGCUGCCCAUGCUGUAACCCCAAUAAUGCCCAUGGUGUAACCCCAAUGGUGUCCGUAGUGUAACCCCACUUCUGUCCAUGGGAUACCCCAAUGCUGCCCAUGGUGUACCCCAAUAGUUCCCAUGGUGUACCCCACUACUGCCCGUAGUGUAACCCCAAUAGUGCCCAUAGUGAAACCCCAAUGCUGCCCAUGGUGUAACCCCAAUACUGCUCAUGUUGUAGCCCAAUAGUUCCCAUGUUGUACCCCAAUACUGCCCAUGGUGUAACCCCAAUGGUGCCCGUAGUGUAACCCCACUUCUACCCAUGGUGUACUCCAAUGGUGCCCAUGUUGUACCCCACUACUGCCCACGAUGUACCCCACUACUGCACACAGUGUAACCCCAAUACCGCCCACGGUGUACCCCAAUAAUGCCCAUGCAAUAACCCCAACGCUGCCCAUGGUGUAACCCCACUUCUGCCCAUGGUGUACCCCAAUGGUGCCCAUGUUGUACCCCAAUACUGCCCACGAUGUACCCCAAUGCUGCCCGUAGUGUAACCCCAAUAGUGCCCAUGUUAUAACCCCAAUAGUGCUCAUAGUGUAAUCCCACUUCUACACAUGAUGUACCCCAAUGGUGCCC